rnacentral:misc_RNA from 1 species
AACAAAUAAAGUUUCGUUCGCUUUGAGUGCAGUGGAACGCGCUCUAGUUCGUAAACAUUUUGCUUCUGUCAAAAGUCAAAACAAAUAAUCAUAAACUGUUUACUUUUACCGCGAUUUUGUUGCUCAUAAAUAGCCGAAAUACUAUUUAAAACCGUGAGCAUUAUAUUUUGGACAAUAUAGACAUAGUGUGCGUGAAGCAGCAUCGGGUUCUCAGUGAUAAUAACCUCAAAAUAUUUUGUGUUCUUGUUUAUCUAAAAUUGUGAAUUAAGUGUUGAUUUUGUGAGUUUUAUAAGUUUCCAGUAUUUAUCUAGUGAUGAUAGUGAUUGUGUGAUACGUUGGCGGCGCCUGCAGUGUGCUGAAGUCGGUCUUCAAUAUGAGCUGAUACCCACAAAUAAGGGCAAAUAUUUACUGAUGCUGGAAAAGUACACUUACUCACAGGAUCACUUCAGUACAAGUUACUACUGUUCUAGAAGGAAUAUAGGUUGUAGAGCUACCGUCAAAUUGGACAAGUCUGGCAAUAUUAAAGCAGCCAAUACUGCACAUACACAUGAUCCACCGACAUACAUGCGAACUGCUACUGGAGAGUACAUUAAAGUUAGACAUUAAUUAGUAUGGACGAUUUAGUUGUACAUACGUAUUUCUUAUUGUAGGUCUUAGAUAUGAGCUGAUACCCACAAAAAGGGGCAAAUAUUUACUGAUGCUGGAACAGUACACUUACUCACAGAAUCACUCCAGUAACAGUUACUACUGUUCCAAAAGGAAUAUAGGUUGUAGAGCUACCGUCAAAUUGGACAAGUCUGGCAAUAUUAAAGCAGCCAAUACUGCACAUACGCAUGAUCCACCGACAUACAUGCGAAAUGCUAAUGGAGAGUACAUUAAAGUUAUAUAUUAAUUAGUAUGGAGGAUUUACUUGUACAUACGUAUUUCUUACUGUCUUGGAUAUGAGCUGAUACCCACAAAAAGGGGCAAAUUUUUACUGAUGCUGAACAAGUAUACUUACUCACAGGAUCACAAAAAACGUACUUUUUACUGUUCCAAAAAGAAUGUGGGGUGUAGAGCUAACGUCAAAUUGGACAAUAUGGGAAAUAUAAAAGAAGCCAAUACCAUCCAUAUGCAUGAUCCGCCGAAAUAUGUACGAUCUGCUAGUGGAGACUAUAUUAAAGUUUAAGGGGCUCAAGUAGUGGGCAGUGUGCUUGAUUUCAUUUUGGCAAAUGCAUUUUACCAAUGUUACUCGUGCGUGUCUGCCACUGAACGAUAGAUGAUCUUCAUUAAACAUGUGUGAACAGUAGAAGAAUUAGUUAUCCUGAAAAGGCUUAUUAUAAAAAAGGAACCCAGUAAAAUAAAUAUUCAAGUACAAAGGUACCAACGCAAUUUGUAUCAAAUUGGUUGAGCCGUUGAUUUGGGUGUGUAGGUACACAAAUUCGUAUUUUGAAUUGUGUGUAUGUGUCCCGGUGAGGGUAGGCAGGAUACUUAAUCAUUAUAUUUCGUAAGCAAUGAACUAGUUUAUUUAUGAUAGAACUAAAGAUACUACGAUCUUGGCUGAUUUGUCUUUGAACUAUGUAUACUUAUCUCUUUGGGUAGGUUUUUUGGCAUCUAACAAUGGCUAAACAUUGAAAUUGUGGUAAAUAGUAAUGUAAGUUUAUAGUGUAUCUAAAUUGGUAUAAGUAUCUUGACUUGAAAUAAAUAUACCUACGAACUUAACAUACAACUGUAUUUUUUUUCUUUAUGUCAUCUAUUCCUAUUAAGAUUGGUUUUCGAUGAUAGGUAAGUGAUAAUUUUUUUUUUGUUUCAGACAAUAUGAAGUUCAUAGAAACAUUGAAAGGGACGAGAUUGUUAAUGAUAAAUGGAUAUACCUAUUCUCUCAAAAAUCGUGCUAAACGCUGUUACUAUUGCUCUAAGGAGGCUCGGAACUGUAAGAGCCGAGUUCGUAUAUGUAAGAACGGAUAUAUACUUUCCAUGGAUUUGGAACAUAAUCAUCCCCCGCCUGUUUAUAAGGAGGUUGAUGGAAGGUAUUUGAAAGUCUCAAAGUAGGUUUGGAGUUUGACACCGAUAAUAUGAAGAAUACUUAAUAAAAAAAGUCGUAAUCAUAAGAAUCGCUGUCACUCCUCAUCGAUCCCCUCGAAAUACAUACGAGAGUAGCAAAUGGUAGUAACUAAUGGCAGCUGCUAGCAAUGAAGUAGCAACUCUCUAUGAGUAUUUCGAAGGGAUCGAUUAGGAGUGACAGCGAUAAUGACGAUAUCAAAGGAAAGACUUGUCUAUGGCUAUGGAGUAGUACAUAACCCGGGUGUGGUGUGUCAUCUGCAGCUACGCCUGCCUGGCGGCGGCAGCGACCAAUACUGCUUGCUGUAACGGUUUCCAGGAUCAACCUGCUGGCAAGAACACCCCAACAAUGCAUGUGAUUAACGAAGUACACGACAGGAUUGACGGUUUUCGUGCAAUCUGAGUGAAUUCGCAAUAGUUUUAUGAAAUUUUGUUAGUCAUGUCUAAUAGUUUGUAUUGUUUGACCAUUGUAUUUAAAUAACGUUAUUUUUAAGUAACUGCUAUUGUAUUGGGUAUAUAUCCCGUAUUGAUACCACGUAAAUAAAUCAAUGAGGUGUUAAAUCAAGGAGAUUUUUUGUAACAUCGUAUAUUUUGAUGAAGUACUGACAAAGGUUUUAAAUCAAAAAUAUUUUCAUUGAUUUUGGAUACAUCCUAUUCGUCGACAAUUUAAACAUUUCUUACCGAAUCGCUAAAUGUUUAGCUUGUUAUAGUUAAGUUUUCUAAUGGUUUUCCUCUCUCUCUCUUUAAACACGGAUUAAAGUUGCACCAAGAAAUAAUAAUAAUAGCGUCCACGGCCGAUUUCGGCCACGGCGGCUAUUCUCAUUUAAGGAGUUUUCAGUUGCGUGACUUUUACAGUUUUGUUGCUAGUAAGUACAUCCGUGAUGCGAUUUUAGUUGAAAUUACUUAAAUAUAAAGAAUCUCACAUAUAUUGUUUUGUAUUUCAGCGAGGGUGGCAUUUAUUAAAACAGUCAUAGGAAGCACAUUAUUAAUGGUCAAUGGAUUUACAUAUUGGCAACAUAAUACGAGUAGAACUAUAUAUUAUUGCUCUAGUAAAACUGGAAAUGGUUGUAAGAGUAGAGUUAAAAUUACUAAAGAAGGAGUCAUUGUUACUUUAAGAGAGGAACAUAAUCAUUCACCACCUGUUUACAAGCAAAGAGGUGGUCUGUACUUCAAGGUUUAAGCUCUGCAUUUUGUGAAAAUAAAUACUUUUCUAGUCAUACUGGCGUUUUACUAUUCCUCGAUUAAUCGUAUAGUCCGUUCUUGUAUGCAACUGGAUCGUGACAUCUUAUUACAUGUCGUCCGUACGAAUCAAGUCAUCGUUCGAAUCACGUCGUCAUAAUGGUCGUUACGGUUAUUAUGACAGCUAACACUUUUGUUACCCGCGAAAACCAGUGCCUUUUUAACAUUAUUUGACAUUCCAGAGGACGUGAAAAUCAUAAAAACUGAAAAAGGGAGCAUGCUGUUAAUGGUCAAUGGGUUCACAUUUUGGCAGAGUAGUAGGUACAAAACGAAUUAUUAUUGUUCUCGAUCGUAUUAUGGAUGUAAGAGUAAAGCAAAAUUAAACAGCGAAGGAUUUAUGAUUAGUUUAAAGGAGGAUCAUAAUCAUCCACCACCUACUUAUGUAGUAGGUGAUAGCGGUUUAUACUAUAAGGUUUCCAGAUAAUUGAAUAAAUAAUAUUGAUUCCAAAUAAUUAGUAAUAAUUUUAAUGGAUUUAAAAUAAAUUAAUAAUUUCUACUAAGUAUACUUUGUUUAAUAUCAACGCUUAUGUGUCUCAAAACUAUGUAAUCUGGGAGCACUUCUGUGCAUCCAUUUAGUUUUAGGUAGGCAACAGUGAAAUUACAACAAAAAAAUGCUGUCGAAUAUAUUCCAGCUAGAUGUUAAGUAGUGUUAAAUGAGCUAUUGUUAGUUUAUAACUUUUUAAUUUAAUAAACAAUCUUUUUGUAAUCGUAAUGGCUUUUUACUUUAACUCGUCUAAUAUUCAUACUAAUGUUUGUCACACUACAAAAUUAGAAAUGUUUCUGUUCUGGCGACAUCCCAUACUGGCAUGACGUUAAUUUAUCCUUGGACGACUUUUCUUAGCUUGACUUCGAAGUUCUCUUGGAACCAACAGAGUUGGAGUUAUUUCUCGAAAUAAUUUCCACGGUCCUGGAAAGUGGUAGCAGUCAGUAAGUCCAACCAUGCCGGAUUUUCCAACUCCUUAAACUUAAAAAAUAAUUUUCAGUGUCCUUGCAAUUCAUAGUAACGGACAAAGGAAGAACGCUAUUGAUGGUCAAUGGGUUCACAUUUUGGCAACACAAUAAAUGCAAGAACAAUUAUUAUUGCUCUAGAAAGUCUUAUCAUGGUUGCAAGAGUAGCAUCACAAUGAACAGUGAAGGGGAUAUUGUUUGUUUAAAGGAGGUACAUAAUCAUUCACCACCGGCCUACAAGCAAGACAAAACAGGUCUAUAUGUUAAGCUUUCGUAAUGAAUUUCCUUUUUGGAAGUAAAUAAAGACAUUGUAAUCGCACUGCAUUUUCUCUAUAUAUCCUAAUAAACGUAUAUUGAAACUGCUCCAGUCGCUUGAUUUUAUAUCUUGUGUACGGUUGCACAUACGUAGGUAAACGUUUUUUUCUUCUGCGAAACGGCUGUACCUGCUAGCCGUCGUGCGUCAGACCUCUAAUCCCAGCCACAGACAUGAUACAUAAUAUGUCAAAUACAGAUAAUAUUUAUUUUUUUCUUUUAGAUUGCGUACGAUUUCUGAUGAUAAAUGAAAAGAAAACGCUAGUGGUGCUCAACGGAUACAUGUUUCGGCAGCAUAAUGAAAACAAGAAUUAUUAUUUUUGCUCUAGAAAGAGCAAGAGUGGUUGCAAAAGUGAAGUUACGUUGAAUUGUGAGGGAGCAGUCGUUAGUUUGAUAGAGGAACAUAAUCAUUUGCCACUCAUAAAGUUUUCGAAUAACACACGUAUCUAAAUCGAUACCUGUAUUUUUUUUUUCAAAUAUCCUUCAUUUAAAAAUAUCCUUCUGAACAAACCUAAUUUGUUUAUACUUAAUAAAUAAAUAACAUUUUUUAAUACUACACCACCUUUACUUUUCAACGCUUAUUUAAAUAUCCAUGCUUUCGUCGAUUGGUCAUCAUCUUAAAUUAUGGCGAGCUCCUAAUUUGCCGUGACAAUUUGUUUUCCUUUUUUCCUUUUGGCCCUAUAUUAUCUAAAUAUUUUUGGAUCUUUUAAUAAUGUGUCAUGGUAAUCAGUAGGUAAAUAUAGUUAUAGGUAUAAUAGUAGUAGUUAUAGACUAAGCCACUUCACCAUCCGUCAUGACGAGAGAGAAACGUGGUCUUGCUAAAAUAAAUGAUAUGAACCCUUCAAACAUGCAAGGUUGAAAUGAAAUUAAUAAAAAAAAUAAUUAUAUUCUUACAUUCCAGAGUACGUGCAAUUCAUUACAACCACAACGGGGAGUAUGUUGUUGAUGAUUAAUGGGUUCACAUUUGUGAAAAAUAACAAAUCGAAAAAUAUUUAUUACUGCUCUAGUCGGUACUACAAUAAUUGUAUGAGCAGAGUCCGACUGAGUGACGAAGGGGAUAUACUUAGUUUCGUAGAAGAGCAUAAUCAUUUGCCUCCUGUGUUCAAGAGAAAAAUGGACGGCACAUAUGCUAAAAUAAGAAAUAUAAAUAAAUAAAGAAAUGCUUUUGAAUUAUCGUUCUGUUUAUAUCCUACGUUUUGAUUGUCCUCUAUGCCUUCUCAAAACACGGGUACUUAUCUAUAAAUCCAUAUUUUAUAUUUUAUAGUCUAUGUGUAAAUCCGAUAAUGGGGAUUUCUUCUUCUUCCUUGAGGGCGUUUUGGGUUCUGUCUUUUGUAAAUUUCUGACGUUCAAAAAGUGCUGUCUUGCAGCCAAGUUUGAAUGAAUGAUUUUUUAUUUUGUUUUGAUUUUCCAUUUUUGAGCAUUAUACCUACUAAGUCAAGACACCAUAAUGAACUUUUUAAAGAUUCCGUACAUAGUACAAAUUUUUUGUGUGCUUCGAAAAAAAUUGGUUGUACCUACGCGUUUACUAUCGUUCUAAAACCAAUUUAGGUAGCAAAUUAAAGACAAUCUUUUUUAUUUCAGCUUCCAUGCAGUUUAUGACGACAGAUAAAGGAGGAACUCUACUAAUGGUCAAUGGGUUCACAUUCUCUCAAAAUAACAAAUCCAAACAUAUGUAUUAUUGCGCUAGAAAGUCUUCUGGUUGUAAGAGUAGUGUGAGACUAAAUACUGAAGGAGGUAUCGUUCAGCUGAAAGAGGAACACAAUCAUUUGCCCCCAGUUUAUAGGAGAUUGAGUAACGGAAGAUAUAUUAAAAUAACUGGGUCUAAGCUUAGCACGGUACCUUAAGGAGAUCAAGAAAUUAUUUCUGGAACUUCUCUUUGUAAAAUCUAGUCGAUUACUUCCCAGCUAUAGUAGUGUUAAUUUUAUUGAAGAUUUAUGAAUGGAAAGAGUAGAUUUCUAAAUUACGUUAGGUUAUGUAAAUAUCUUUAUUAAUAAUAAACCUCCUGAAACCCUUGACAGUUUUCAAUAAUCGGUGUUAUUUAUUUUUAUUUAGAUACUUUGUAUGAAGAUCAUUAAUUGAUGUCGAUAAUUAUAAAAUAUAACUGUCGUUGUAAAUUAUCUAAUAAAUAUAAUUCAAAUUUCGAUCUCAUUACAGCAUUAUUAUUUUAAUUUGAGUCUGAUACCAUUAUUAAUCAUAAUAUGAGCAAUUAGAGAAGUAUUGAAUCUAAAACUAUAAAAAGGUAAAUAUAAAAUGGAAGUGAAUAUAUGCCUUUUUAAUAAUUCCUUUCAGGUAUCACCAACUUCAAGUUUAUUCAAACGAUCCGAGGCAAGACUUUGCUAAUGGUGAAUGGCUACACUUAUACGGAAAACAAUAGGGCCAAGAACACGUUUUAUUGUUCUAGAAAGUACAAAAGCUGCAAGUCCAGUGUGAAGUUCGAUGAUCAAGGCAGAAUCACGGGUUUUAGACUCGACCAUAACCAUUCUCCACCUAUAUACCGUUCAACGCAAAAUGGACUUUAUGUUAAAUGCAGCACGGAUCAGAAUCCCUCGAUGUAUGCUGCGUUUGGUGGUUUUCGACAGCCGGAAAAGGGACGACCUUUCUUUAUGUAGGUCUAUAUUAUUUAUUAGUAUUUUUAGAAGGAUAUAAAUAUUAUAUUUUCAUUAUUUUAGGUAUAUUCAUGAAUAAAUUCUAUAACUUGGCAUUUGAUGUAUUACAGUUUAUUAAAACAAGUUAGGAAGAAAAUGCAGUAGAUAUAAUAACAAUAUAAUUUUAUAAAUCUCUCAUCGAUCGACUGUUACGUCUUGCAAUUGUAAAUAACUGCUUUUUUAUUAGGUUACUAAGUACCGUAAUUUAUAAACUAUUAAUAUUAUAAGAUGUUUAUAAUAUCGUUCAUUAUUUUCGUUACUUUUAAAUAGGUGAAAAAUGAAGGCAAUAUGUCAUACAUAUUUAUACUAUACUCAUUAAACUAGGACAAGCAAUCGUGUAAUUUUUUUUUAAAUAAGAUUUUUUUUUGAAUUACUUGUAUCUAAUAAAUCUGUUAUACCUACCUACUAGGUAAUAAAAUAAAAGUUAUUGAGUAUUAUAAUCAAAUUAUUAGACAAGUAAGAUUUUAGCAUAUACAUAUAGGUAAACUAGAUGAUGUCAUGUAAUGUACAAAAUAAGUUAAAUAAGUCUUGAAAAUUCUGUUUUGAACACUCCAAAACUGCAUUUACUUUUUACUAAAGUAUUUUCAACUGUUACUCGUAUUUCAGCCUGUUGGUACUGUAGCGCGUGGUGCGCUAGGAACCGGGGAUCUUCAGGAUAUUAAAUUAAAACAUUCAAUAAUAACUUUAACUUUGCGUUUAUUCGCUGACUCGGGGGUGAAGUCACACACUUCAAUAUAUAAAAACUAUUCUAUUUCUAUUUAUAUCAUUGUCCGGCCAGUAUCAAUUACAAUUAAUAAAACCUACUUCUAAUCUACUUCAGUACUACAUCUCUACAUCAGCUACGCCCUUAGGAUAAAGUUGAACUUUAUCUCAAAAGCGCAGCUUUAGGCGGACAAUCAUACAAAUGUUACCUACCUACAUCUAACCGAAAACUGACCUAUGCGUGGGAAUUAAAAACACGUCCCUCACAACGGGAUAGUUUACAAUAACAUGUGAGUUGUUUACUUAAGUGUGCCAAACUGCACUGUAAGAAAACAUGUUAUCGUGAACUUUUUCGCGGCAAAACCACGCAAAAAGCCUCGAAACGUGCUUCUAAUAGCAAAGGAUAUUCAAAGUGAACACCCGUCCUGAAGGGAUUACUUUUCAAGCGAAGAAAAACUCUGUAUUGACAACUUACAACUUCGCCGGACGCUAACGUGUCAGAUGAAGGGAUAAGUCACCGUUAUCAAAGUUUCUCACCUAACGUGAUAUAAUUAAACAUCUUACCCAAUAAUUAUUUUUGUACAAUUUUGGAAUAUUAAAUAAUAAAUAAAUCAAAUAUAGGGAUCAUAAAUCUUCGGCAGAAACCAUUGUGUCAAGCAAACACUCUUCGCAAGGCUAUGCCCCUUAUUGCGAAGUUGAUCUCAACCUCAAUUCACCAUCCAAAUAUUUUUUCAAAACCAAAUCAGAUAAUAAUUUUGGGAUCAGAUUUACAGAGCAAUAUUAAAAAACUUAUAAAAAUAACACAGGCUUGACCACAUUGGUUAUCUUCAUCUUCCUUCGUACUGAAGAUGAAGUAGCUCUGCCGUGGACAUCAUCUUCUCACGAAGAUGAAGUAGCUUACCUUCUUAUCCCUUCACCGGCAAUGCUCGUACCACUCGUUCCAGGUAACAUGUAAUUAUAAAAUACGUAUUAUAAAAACGUCAUAUAAAAUUAACGAAAAUGUUUCCUAUCUUUAUAUUUAUCUACAUUUUGCCUAUUUAAAAAUACUAAAUUAUCGUCAAUAUUACGCAGUUGUAUCUGUUUUUUGUACUGCGUGUCUAUCCUCCCCUCAGAAGGAUAAAAAUGAUGAUAUUCAUUGUUUUUCUUAACAUUUUUCCGAUAACAAUAACAAGAAUCUACAAACUUCUUAUUGUUUAUCACCUUUGAUGAUGUAGAAGUCUGACUAGACUUCAAAACCAUACGUUUACGUCGCUUUCGCAAAACUUUUCUUCGAAUAUUAUUUACUUUUAGUUUAUUUUGAAAAUAAAUAUAAUUAUUUUUAUUUAAUUUGUCGUCAAUGUCAUCUGUCGUUUUGUCAUUAUUUGCGUCACUAUGGUGAUCCUUAUCCGUCAGUAUUGACACUGACACCUUUUUUCUUAAAGUAUCAAUAUCAAUAAAUUUCGAAACAAAACUCCUUUUCAAAAUUAAAUAAUUAUUAGAAAAAUCUAUCAAACAAUCAUUUUUAGAGAGAAAAUCUCGGCCAAGAAUUAUAUUUUGUUGAAUAUUCUUUAUAACCAAAAACUUCUGCUUGAAAAAAGAAGAAUCUAUUAAUAAAUUCAAUGAUGCUUCUCCUAAAAUUGUUAAAUUAGCACCAGAGACUGUCGUAGCAGAAUUCUUCGUGCUCUCUUUGAUGAUAUUCAUUAUAGCGCGUGGUGCGCUAGGAACCGGGGAUCUUCAGGAUAUUAAAUUAAAACAUUCAAUAAUAACUUUAACUUUGCGUUUAUUCGCUGACUCGGGGGUGAAGUCACACACUUCAAUAUAUAAAAACUAUUCUAUUUCUAUUUAUAUCAUUGUCCGGCCAGUAUCAAUUACAAUUAAUAAAACCUACUUCUAAUCUACUUCAGUACUACAUCUCUACAGUACGUACAUAUUUAUAUAUUAUAUAGUUUAGGUAUAUUAUUGAAUUUUAAAGCAAGCACGCAUAUCGCGGGAAUCAAAUAGUAUAGUUUUAAUAGUUUAGCCUGUAAAAUAUGCCUACAAUAACUUAUUCUUAAGAUAAUAGCUAAAAGCCUUUUGUAACUAUUUCAAUGGUUAUUUCAAAUAAAUUAGAGUUUAACAAAACAAAAA